GGCGGGAUGGCCGAGUGGUUAUGGCGCAGCGCUUGAAACGCUGUAUCUUCGGAUUCCUGGGUUCGAUCCCCAGUCCCGUCG
rnacentral:tRNA from 1 species